GGGUGAGUAACACGUAGACAACCUGCCGACAGGAUGGGGACAACAUUCCGAAAGGAAUGCUAAUACCGAAUGAAGUCGAGGGAGGGCCUCCUCCUUCGAUGAAAGAUGGCCUCUAUUUAUAAGCUAUCACCUGUCGAUGGGUCUGCGUCUGAUUAGCUGGUUGGUGAGGUAACGGCUCACCAAGGCGACGAUCAGUAGCCGGUCUGAGAGGAUGAACGGCCACAUUGGGACUGAGACACGGCCCAGACUCC
rnacentral:rRNA from 1 species